CACCCCAUCUACCCCAUCCAGUAACCCCAGCCCUCCACUCUCCCUCUUUCUCUCCCUCCCCCUGGGUAACCGGACCCAGAGGCCCCCGGAGGCCCUUUUUGUGCCUGGAGGAGAGGCUUGGUGCUGGCUCGCCUGCUGAGGGUGGUCAGAGAGCAGGAUGGAGAGAAGGAUGAAGAUGGGGGAGGAGAGAGAGAGGCGGAGCUGCAUCUGGACGCUUUGUCGCCUACGUCUCGGAUCUACCUGCACCUGCAAAUCUCCUGGAACAGUUACAUUAUAAGGUCGACGUUGCUGUUGGACCCCCUCUACAGAAGGAGAUGCAAUGUCAUGUUGAACACCUCAACACAGAAACAACCCCCAAUUAGGUACUUUCCAAUACUGUUCUCCAAAUCAGCCAACGUGUUGUUCCAUGGUCACUCCCUCCCCUGUCGGUGUGUAGUUGGGAGCGUACAGCCCACCUGUUCCACCAGCUGAGUGGUGAUUUGCUUGAGGAGGCCAUCAGUCUGGAGAGCCUAUAUCUGCUCCUCCAGGAGCUCUGCAAUGCAGCAUCACCUGCAGGAAACUCUUUUGGAGGUCCAAUGACAUGUUUCCAUUCCUGGUGCGGAUGCUGGAACAGGCUGGAGACCAACACAGCAGACAGCCUACUGCUGUGUCCUCUGAUCGCUCAGACCCUGGCCUUGACGUUCAGAGAUCGAGCAGGCUCGACUCAACAUGCUUACGGUCAAGCAGUAAUAUGUGGAGCGGCCCUGUGUAGAGGAGAAGUUGCCCCCUGAUUACCCAUCAGCCAGCCUGAUUUUCGCCUUGUCUCUCAACUGCUGGGACUUAUCAUACAGAAUUCCUGACCACAUACACUACAUGCAUUUCCUUGAUUCAUAGACAAGAGGUACUUAUUCUCAUGUGUUUUUAGAAUUAUACUGUAUAUCAGGGUUUCACAAACUAUGGGUCGGGACUUAAAGUGGGCCCUGUGCAUGUGAGAUAUAAGAAUACAUCUACAAUCACACUGUAUUUCUUAAUGUGGGUCAUUGGAGGACAAUUUGGGUCACAGAGGAAGGUCAGCUGGACAUAUACUCUAUUAAACACUCUCACAGACAUGGGGACAGGAUAUUGCUUUGGGAAAGUGUGCCUUUGUCUGAGUGGAGUGUGGUUUCUGAAGGACUGUAGAAGUUUCCCUCCUGUGUGGUUGGGUACUGUACAUACUUGUGUUUAUGUCUUUGCACUUGGUGAGAUGUAUGAUGCGAGGCAACUCACUCUUCUCUUCUCUCCUACACACGGCCUUGUCAGGUUAACUGUCAUGUAAUGGCAGUCAGAAUGGUCAGAUUGGUCAUAAUAAAAUGUAUGAAUUUAAUCAAGGUACUGCACAUCUCACUUUCUAGGAUAUUCAGCCUACUCUAGAAAUUAAUAAAAAUUAUACUUGUUGAGCAAAAGGCAUGUUCUACCGAUGUACCUUAUUACUGUAGUAAAUGAAAUAGGCCUACCGAUUUGUACGACCAUGUGUGCAGUAUUUACUUAGACACAUUAUCUAUUCGUUUUGAUUCAGAAUUGAAUGCAUGUAUUUAGAUUUGAUUGUGUAUCAUCAUCUUACUCUCUGUGAGCGAAGGAUUGUAACCAAAGGUUUUCUAGAA